AUUAAAAUGCUGCGGAGCAUGAUCUAUGUCACAAUACCGUUUGAUAUGAAAUCAAGUAUACAAAUGAACAGCGUUAUUACAGAGAUAAAGUGUAAUUAAACUAAGAGAAAGGAUUCUAAACUCACGCUAGAAUAUCCUAAUGGAGAAAAGUGCGAAUUUGUUCAUGCAUAUGGCUUGACAAACGGUCACAAACUUUUAGAUCUGAUACCAAACAGAGAUUUGAUAUCACACAUUGAAGACAUUCGGAAUCUCGAGAUACGAGAUGAUGACAUAUAUCUUGCAUCUUUUCCAAAAUGUGGUACAUAUUGGGUUUGGGAAAUUUUGGUCAUGUUGAAAAGAGGAAAUGCAGAAUAUGAAAAAAAAAAACAAAGGGGCAGCUUUCUUGGACUUCCGGUCACCGGAAAUAGUAAGGCGCAUUUCAUCUCCGAGGGUCUUGAAUUGCCAUUACCCUUGCAAACUUACGCCGAAAGAAAUCUUCCAGAAAGGAACAAUGAUUGUUCAUGUUAUGAGAAAUCCAAAGGAUCUUUUCGUGUCAUUUUAUCAUCACCAUAAGACCAUUGCUUUAGGAUCAUUCUGUAACAGUUUUCAAGAUUUCCUGCCUCAUAUGCUUGGAGACUAUGGUUUGUGUUAGUAUAAAUUUGAGCACAUUUUUGUGAUGGUGUAUAUUGGUGAGGUUCACUUAUGCAGGUUUUGAACGCUCUUUAUUGGUACACUGUAUACUAUACUUGAGUGAAAGUUUUUAUAAACUUGCGAUGUUGCAAUAAAACUAAAGAGUAAAUAAUGCCAUAUUUAUAAAAUUGAAAAAGUUCUAUCAAUAUUUUCAUAGUUUUUUUCAUUCUUUACAUUCGUCUCAUAUCGUCAUUUCUAGCCUGAAAUAAUGAUAUCUAAAGUAUUUUUAUAUAUGUAUAUGGGUUCGAGAUGCACAUCACAAUAUCAUUUUUCAUUUUCAAAACUUCAUUUUAUUCUGUCGAGGCAAGGUGUUUUGGAUGGGGAUGGCGAAAAACAUGGUUUUACUGUAAUAUAACUUAAGUUCUAACUGACAGGUAAAUUACCAAACUAUGAUAGAAAGCUUAAAUAGCGACUAAGAUAAAGUUUUAUUAGCUCGGCCGUCCAGUCAAUGGUCAUGGCUGCGGUAGGGAAAAGGAAAAGAUUUGUUUAUUCUCACAAGUUUAUGGUGAGAUUUUUCGAUGAUGUUACAGUUGGGCUACAAAAAUGGAAACACAGGUUCCGAAAAAUGAAGUUUGGAAUGUCACUAACAGAUCUUGCUGAAACAGAAUAUAGAAAAUAAAAACACGUUUGCGAUUGUAAAAAGAUUUUCUUAUCUUAACAUUUCCUGCCUAACUUUAAUUUGUCUAUAAUAUGUCAUAUUUGGC
rnacentral:lncRNA from 1 species